AACUUUCAACAACGGAUCUCUUGGUUUCUCGCAUCGAUGAAGAACGCAGCGAAAUGCGAUAAGUAAUAUGAAUUGCAGAUAUUCGUGAAUCAUCGAAUCUUUGAACGCACAUUGCGCCCUUUGGUAUUCCAAAGGGCAUGCCUGUUUGAGCGUCAUUU
rnacentral:rRNA from 1 species